CAUCUCGGCGCCUCCUUUCCUUCGGUCUAUCCUUUCUUUGUUGCCGCUCCAAGUCACUUUCUGAUUCUGUGAAGAAGAUCAAUCAGGGAGAUAUGGAAGAUUGAAGCUGUAAGAUUUUCCAAGAAAAGGAACAAAGGAACAAACAGACAUUUGCAAAACAGAGCAGCAAUGAACCCUGAAGGUUAAUAUAUGGAGGAAGUUCAGUGAACCUGAUGGGAAACGUAGCUGAGACCCGUCUCUCAAACGACGACGUCUCUGUUCAAGUCAACACUCGUAUUAAAGAGUAGAAGUCAUAUUAAAUAUAGAGUUAGCAUGUAAUUUUAUGUAUUAUUUUAUUAAAUUUCUACUGUGUUUUUCGUUUCAUUUAAAGAUGUAAUGAGAUAACAAGUCA